rnacentral:rRNA from 1 species
UACAGAGGUCUCAAGCGUUGUUCGGAUUCAUUGGGCGUAAAGGGUGCGUAGGUGGCGCGCUAAGUCGGGUGUGAAAUUUCGGAGCUUAACUCCGAAACUGCAUUCGAUACUGGCGUGCUUGAGGACUGGAGAGGAACCUGGAAUUCAUGGUGUAGCAGUGAAAUGCGUAGAGAUCAUGAGGAAGACCAGUGGCGAAGGCGGGUCUCUGGACAGUUCCUGACACUGAGGCACGAAGGCCAGGGGAGCAAACGGG